GUAGGUGGCAAGCGUUGUCCGGAAUUAUUGGGCAUAAAGCGCGCGCAGGCGGUUCUUUAAGUCUGAUGUGAAAGCCCACGGCUCAACCGUGGAGGGUCAUUGGAAACUGGAGAACUUGAGUACAGAAGAGGAAAGCGGAAUUCCACGUGUAGCGGUGAAAUGCGUAGAGAUGUGGAGGAACACCAGUGGCGAAGGCGGCUUUCUGGUCUGUAACUGACGCUGAGGCGCGAAAGCGCGGGGAGCAAACAGGAUUAGAUACCCUGGUAGUCCACGCCGUAAACGAUGAGUGCUAAGUGUUAGGGGGUUUCCGCCCCCCUUAGUGCUGCAGCUAACGCAUUAAGCACUCCGCCUGGGAGUACGGCCGCAAGGCUG
rnacentral:rRNA from 1 species